CAUAAAAACUUAUUGAAGUUUUGUAUUUUGUUGAAAUAAACUUAUUUUUCAAGGUUAUGCAGGAAAUCGAUUAUAAAUGAUACUAUGAAUAAACCAUAAACGGGUGUCUAUACGGAAAAUCGGACUUUUCCAACUCUACUUUGAAUGAUUUAAAUAUGAGCGCAAGUGAGAACAUGUAAGAUAUUUUACAUAUGGUAUGUAUGAUAUAGUAUUGGCAUUAUAUACAAAUUUCAUAGAUGUUCUCAACUGCGCUCAUAGCAAAAUCUUUAAAAAAUAUCAUGUACAGUCGUUGAUUUUUGCGUGCGGUUUAUUUUAGUCUGACAACUUCCGGUUUCAGUCGCCAGGGAAGCUGGAUAUCAUCAGAGUCAACAAACUAUGCUGCUGUAAUAAUAUAUGAUUAUAUAAUGAUUGUCUCCAAAAAGUUUUGAAUGUGAAUUUAUAUGCCAUGUACAACAAAUAAGCCAUGAAAUGAAUUAAAGAUGAAUUGUAACCAUUGUCUCCAAAAAGUUUUGAGUGUGAAUUAAUAUGCCAUGUACAACAAAUAAGCCAUGAAAUGAAUUAAGUAAUGAACUAAAGAUG